UACAGAGGCCCCGAGCGUUACUGAGAAUCACUGGGUUUAAAGGGUGCGUAGGUGGCGCGUUAAGUCCGUUGUGAAAGCCCUGGGCUCAACCCAGGAACUGCUUCGGAUACUGGCGCGCUUGAGGCUAGUAGGGGUCACUGGAACUGACGGUGGAGCGGUGAAAUGCGUAGAUAUCGUCAGGAACGUCAAUGGUGAAGACAGGUGACUGGGCUAGUUCUGACACUGAGGCACGAAAGCGUGGGGAGCGAACGGG
rnacentral:rRNA from 1 species